rnacentral:lncRNA from 1 species
AUUGAAAAAUAGAAAAAAAAAAAAAAAAAAAAGAAAAAGUUGUGAAAGUAAAAAAAAAAAAAAAAAAUGCUUAUAAUAUUUGUUUCCACGCUGUGGUCCCUUUUAGUUUUAUCUUUUUAUGAUUCUUUUAAUUUGAAAAGAAAAAUAAAUAAUUAUAAUAAUAAUAAUAUAAUAAGAAACAUAAGCAAUGAGUCCUGUUAUAAUAACCCUCCUAUAAGUUUACUUAGUAAUAAAAGUAAGUUUCGAAACUAUUUUUUUGUUAAUAACCAUUAUGUGUUAAAAUCAAAAAUAAAACAAGAAAAAAAUAAUAAAAAUAUAUUAUUUAUGAAUCAUGAUGAAACAGAUUUAAACAACCAUACAACUAAGUUAAAAAUUGAGAAGAUAGAAAAUCAUGAGGGUACGGAUUUUUUAUAUCAUAAAUGUUAUAUUAAUAAUGAAGAGAAAAAGUUUAUUAUAGACUUAUGUAGUAAUAAUAGUUUUAUAUUUAAAGAAGGUGGUGGUAUAGAUAGAAUAGUGGAUAACCCGUUAAGUCGUAACGGUCACUUAUGUUUAACAUACACUGGUAACGAUAUUAAACCAGUAUCAAAAGAAAUUCAUUUAAAUAAUAAAAAAAUAAAAGUUGAUAAAGUUAUAAAUUUAAAAAGUAGUAGUAGUAAUAAAAAUAAAAAUUUUAAUUUUUUUGUAGCUCCAUACGGUGUGUUUAGUAGUAGUAGUAGUAGUAGUAGUAGCAGUAGUAACAGUAGUAGUAGUAGUAGUAGUAGUAAUCGUGGGAAGACAAAUAGCGAGACGAGUGUUAUCCCCCAGUUUGACGGUAUAUUAGGUUUCGACUUUUUCGAAAAUUUUGAUAAUUUCUUGCUUGAUACUAUAAAUAUGAAUAUAAUUUUAAAUGAGAAAAAUAAUAUCGAUUUUUUUUUUUCUAAUAUUGAUAAUAAUAAAAAAGAAGAUAUAUAUAAAAUAAAAUUACAUAAUUAUGAUAAUAAUUUAAAAUAUGUAAAUGUAAGUGUCAAUGACAGUAUACACAAAGGUAUUUUUGACACAGGAACUUCGAAAACUGUAGUAGUAAAUAGUAGCAAGUUUCAUAGCGACGACAUAAAUAACAAAUCUAGUCAAGAUUCAAUAAUUAUUGAAAAUGUUUUAAACGAUAAAUUUGUUGUGGAAAAAAUACCUACAAAGGAAAUCACGACAAGUAACACAUCUUGCAACCCACUCCAUCAUAACCACAUUAAUCUUAUUUCAGUAACUAACCAACUAAUACCCAUGCACUUAAAUAAUUUGUAUAAAACUAAACUGGAAUACUUGGAAAAAGAUGUCGUUUUAAUAGGCCUUGAUUUUUUAUUAAAUAAAAGGAUAGUAUUUGACUUGAAAAAUUGUGCUUUGUAUUAUUACAAAGUUGAUGCUGUAGAUAGCGCUGUAAGUACUAACUAUAUUGGACGUGUAGAUACCAACCCAACCAAUAAUAAAUCCACUAUAGAUGAUAAACAAGUCGAAUUAAAAUGUAAAGAAAUAUAUGAACAGUUAAGAAAAAAAGAGUUAAGUUUUAUGAAAAUAACAAACGAUUUGGAAAAUAGUAAUGUUGACAUAAAAGAUUGUAAAAGCACAACUGAUGUAAUCCAAAAAUAUGCCAUAAUGGUUUUAUAUGGACCUGAGCAUUUAUCAAAAAAUGAUAAUAUUAAUAAUAAUAAUAAUAAUAAUGAAUAUACAGUACGAUAUAAGGAAAUUAUAAACAUGUAUAAAAAAUUGGAUAAUGAAAAAAAACAAAAUAUGUUAAACAAAAUGAUAAAUAAAUUAAAACAUGAACAAAGUGGUAAUGAAAUAAAAGCAUCUGAUAUCAUUGAUAAGUUUAUAAAAUAUGAAAUACAAAAUAAAUUAUAUACAUUACAUAAAUUUAAAUCUGAAAAUUGUAAUAAAAAAAAUGAAGAAGCAGUACAUGCUGAAUAUAACCACCUAUAUAAUCUAUACAAUUCACAUCCUGAGUACAGUUUUGAAAUUUUAAAUGAUUUGAAAAAUGAAUUAAUAAACAGAAAAAUAAAUAUUAAUAAUUUAAAAAGCGAAAAAGAUAUUUUUAAAAAAGUAGCUGAAUUACGUGUUUAUCAUUAUAUUGAUGGUGAUAGCACUAUUUCUUCUAUGACAAAAGAUAACAAAAAUAGUACCAGUAGUAAUAAUAGAAAAAGAAAAAAUAUUAUAAUACGAAGGUACUCAAAUGACAAUAAUGGUACACAUACACAAAUUAUAAUUAGAGGAGAUGGAAUAGAUAUUAAUGGACAACAACCAUAUAGCAGUAAUAAUACCAACACUAGUGACAAUGAGCAGAAUACAGAAGGAAGUGGUGAUGGGUACGGGUAUUCUUCAUACGAUAAUAUGAAUAACGUAGAGGACAUUUUUUCAAAUUCUUUGUUUUCAAACAUAUUUAAAAAUUUUUUUAGUGACCAUAGGGGGAGAGGCAGCGGUUGGGUCGAAAGAAUUGGAGCAUCAAAAGAUAGUACUAAUGAAAAAAGAGACAAAGAAGAAUCAGUUGGAAAAAAUAAUAAUUAUGAUGAUGAUAAUGAUGAUGGUGAUAAUGGUGAUGAUGAAGGUGGCUUAGAUUUUUUUUCAGAACUAAAUAAUCUAUUCGGAUUAGGAAAUAUAGGCAGUGGUAGUGACUUUUUUCGAAAAAAAAAAAAAAAAAAAAGUGUCAUAGGUUUUAAAAAAAAUGAAAAACCUAGCGAAAAACAAAACGAAAGUAGUAAUGACAAUUUGGAAGAAGCUAUGAAAGAAGAAAAAGAUGUAAACAUAAUUUACUUAUUGGAAAAGGUAAAAAAGCUUAAUGAUACUAACUUAAAAAAGUUUAUAUUACAAUCCUUAAAAAAUCAAAAUAUACGAAGAAUCCUAAUUGAUGCUCUUAAAAACGGAUACAACAACACGUAUGAUUCUUGU